rnacentral:tRNA from 1 species
GGGCCGUUAGCUCAGUGGAUAGAGCAGCCGCCUUCUAAGCGGCAGGCCGGGAGUUCGAGUCUCCCACGGCCCG